GGCAACCUACGGGGGGCAGCAGUGAGGAAUAUUGGUCAAUGGGCGGGAGCCUGAACCAGCCACGCCGCGUGAAGGAAGAAGGCGCCAGGCGUCGUAAACUUCUUUUGUCGGGGAACAAAGGGCGCCACGCGUGGCGUUGUGAGUGUACCCGAAGAAAAAGCAUCGGCUAACUCCGUGCCAGCAGCCGCGGUAAUACGGAGGAUGCGAGCGUUAUCCGGAUUUAUUGGGUUUAAAGGGUGCGUAGGCGGUCCGGAAAGUCAGCAGUAAAAGCCCGGGGCUCAACCUCGGCGAGCCGUUGAAACUGU
rnacentral:rRNA from 1 species